CCGGUCGGUGCUUUCUCCAGCGCUUUUCACAGCCCUUCUGCUUCGGUUCCUCCAUGGGGCAGCCGCGCCGAAGCCUCGGGACUCCUCCGCGCCGCCACCGGGACCUGUGUUAGGGCGAUCCUGGCGACGGCAGGACCACCCUGAGAUGAGCCACCCCUAGGCAAGGUGGCCCCACUGCCAGGGCUCCCUGUCCCUCGACGAUGAGGACCCACCCGCUGGCCUAAGGAGAAGAUCCUGGUGGUGCUGGUGCUUGCUUUCUUCUUUCCCCCGGGGGGGGGAAAUUCCAUGUGAGGGCUCAGCUACUUCUUACCCCCUCCUUGUGCCCCCCGGCAGCCAAGGGCCGGGGGCUGGAGAGCCCCCAGCAUGGCGGCGAAGCAGCCCCCCCCGCUGAUGAAGAAGCACAGCCAGACCGACCUGGUGAGCAGGCUGAAGACGCGCAAGAUCCUGGGCGUCGGAGGGGAGGACGACGACGGAGAGGUCCAUCGCUCCAAGAUCAGCCAAGUGCUGGGAAAUGAGAUCAAGUUUGCUGUGCGGGAGCCACUGGGGCUGAGGGUCUGGCAGCUGGUGUCUGCUGUCAUGUUUUCCGGGGUGGCCAUCAUGGCCCUGGCUUUCCCUGACCAGCUCUACGAUGCCGUCUUUGACGAGGAACCGGUGAGCAGCAAGACCCCAAUCCGGCUCUACGGAGGAGCCCUCCUCAGUAUCUCCCUCAUCAUGUGGAAUGCCCUCUAUACAGCUGAGAAAGUCAUCAUCCGCUGGAGCCUGCUGACUGAAGCCUGCUACUUUGCUGUGCAGUUCCUGGUUACCACUGUCUCCCUGGUGGAGAGCAGCCGGAUAGCCACGGGUGCCGCCCUCCUCCUCGUCAGCCGAGCCCUCUUCAUCCUCAUCAGUGUUUAUUACUACUACCAAGUUGGCCGCCGUGCCAAGAAAGUCUAGUUCUGGGCUUUGUGUCAUGGGCAGGGUGGGGGGAGGGGUUUGUGUCGGUAAUUUUGAGUUCUCUUCAGUUGGGUUUUGUUUGCCUUGGGUUGUUUUGGGUUUGUUUGGGGUUUUUUUUGAGGGGGGUUAAUCCCUUUUGGUUCUCAAGUGGUUUCCUUCUUUUCCACUUACCGGCAUGAAUUGGUGUGGGACCAGAUGCUGGUGGCUCUGCCAGGUGAAAUGGGGAGGGGAACCUCCCCCACCCCACCCCGCUUCCUCUGCGGGAGGUGGUGAGGAGCAGUGGGAGGAAGGCUCAGGGAGGUCUGUGGGCCUGACAGGCUCAGGGAAAAGAGCUGGUUUCCCCCCAGCCACCCAGGGAUGGGGGGAACCAGCCUGGUGGGAUCACAGGCUCUGAACCCGCUGGAACAAAGCACAAAACAAGACCAGCACAUCGAAACCAAAUCCCUGAGGAAGACAGGGAAGCGAUGAAGCACUCGGCUAGUCCCUUUGGUCAGCCCUUCCCUGCCUGCUGGGGUGGCUCCUCGUGUACAGCCCCUUCCCUUCUGAGCCAGCACGGACUGUGUGGGGAGCUGGGAGCUGGACAGGCUUGGGUUCUGCUCUGCUUCCCUGGCUGCUGGAAGUGCCCCCUGUGCAAAGCUUGGCAGGAGCCAGAGCCGAAGAAGAGGAAACAGCUCACUGAGCAUAAAGAUGUUCCCUUGCUUCUAGGCUGGGGUUUUGUCCCCUUCACCCCAGCACACUUCCUACAGUUCACUGAUGGUCACAACAGUGGUGGGUGUGAGGUGGCAUCUGUGAGGGAAGCAGGAGCUGGGGUGCUGCAGUGGUUAGUAGGAGCAGAGUGAGCUUUGGUACAGCUGCUGGGGUCAGGGAGCAGCCUCCAGAGAUGAGGCCCAGGUGUGGAAGGUGGUGUUCCAGCUUUGCCCAUGUGCAGGCACCACGGCCCCUCCGACUUGGAGAAGAGAGCACCAAAGUUUGUAGCAUUAAGAGACUUAACCGGGAUGAAGAACAGCGAGGAGCAGGGUGUCUGAAGGCAGCGUUGCCUUCUGUAGCUCAGCCAAGGAUGGACUAAAUGUGCUUCAGCACUCACUGGCUGACCCCUCCCGAGCUUAACAGCACUGCCUCCCCUGCCUCCUCCUGCUUUUCUUGUGGAUUAUCCCUGUCCAUGGCUGGAGGCAGCACUUUUUCUUCUCUGUGGAACUGAAGCCAGAAGGUCUGCAUGCAGGAUAUGGACUUCUCCUCCAUGUGCUCCCAUUGACCAGCACAAAGCCUGCUCUGGAAUGGAGCUGAUGUCACAAAAAAUCCCAGUAGGAAGAGCCUACACAGACUGACCCAACAGCCCUCAAGCUGGUAUCUUGGCAGCUCUAACAAGAGGAGAAAGGUGCUGCUGGCCUUUGGUGGUGCUUCAGGCCGGGUUCCCAGGGGCACGCUGCCCAGCUGCAGGGAGGAUUUGAGUCUUCAUCGAGAAAAAAGGGGAGCAGACAAGGUAAGAGAUGAAACUGCUGUGCAGAGUCUGGUGUGACACAAAUGACAGAAUCGUUUUGUUAGAAAGAGACCUUUAAGCUCAUCAGGUCCACCUGCUACCCCAGCACUGCAGGGUCACCACUAAACCAUGUCCCUCGGCACCUUUUGGAUCUACACUCAGAGAGGGAAAGGGAGAAGGCUAAGAGCAGACAAAGCAAUGACUCCAGGACUGGGAAAGCCAAAGAGAAACAAGCCAGCAGAGAACCUGUUUCAGGCUCUGAUAGUUCUCCCCCAUGUCACUGGUGGCAAAAAAAAAGUAAUCUUUGGCCUUCAGCCACCCACCAUGAUCACCUCCAGCAACAUUAUCACCUCUGCUGCUGGGCUCUGUUCCUUGGGAACUACCUUCCCAGAAGAGCAGCUGCCACCAGCUCCUGAGGCAGAAGCAGCACAGAUAAGCUUACCUUCUGCUUGGCCUGUUUCCUGCAAGCAGCUGCAGCAGCUUCCCUGCAGCAUAGCACCUGCUGUUGGGUACAGAACCUGUUGGGCUUGGGCCAGCAAACCUGAAUUCCUUCAUUAAACUACAGACCAGAAUUUCAUGCUAAAAGAUCUCACUAAAGGAAGUUCCAGGGGGAAAAAUGCUUCAGCAAAGCUUUGUACAUGGUUUAAUGCAUCAUCUGAGGCUGCUCAGCAGCUCUGGAUGCUCGUUUUGAGGCUGGAAUAUGCUGAGUAUGGCAUGGGGUGGGGAGAGAGUACAGCAUUGCCCUCCCAGGUCCUCUCCUGACAAGCAAGAUGUUCUCAAAGGAAGCCUGGAAAAGCUCUAGUGCCUCCUUCCUGCUUCCAUAACUUGUGUGUGUAGCCAAGAUUUUUGGCUGUUCUGGACCAGGCUUUCUCCCACUUUCCUUCUUUCCCUGCAGCAGUGCCACUGGGAGAGCCCAAGGACCACAAUGGAAGGGAACAGCCACCCAGUGUAUCUGCUGUUGCAAAGCCAGGGCGGGAGGCUUCCACUCAGCUUCUGGCUGCUGCCUGCUGCUCCCUCUCCUUCCCUGCCAGAGGGGCUGAUUUAAGCCUCUGUAAGAAACUGCUCCAUCAUCUGAGCCUAAGAAAUCUGUAAAAAGACCUAAGCUACACUAGAAACCACAGCCCCUUUUGUCCUCCCCAAGUCAAAUGGGGGAGGGGUGAGUGUCAGGGAGUGACCAGAUGAGUAAUUAAGGCAACAGAGGUUGAUGCUUCCAGAGAAGAGAAAGCAGUGACCUGCCCGGGCUGAUCACCACAGCCACUAGAGUAGCAGUUUGGCUGCUCGCUCCUCUCAGAGCCUGCAGGGAGGCUCAGCACUUGAAUCGUAUCACUGACCAAGGUCCCGGUCCCAGGGUCCCAGGCACCUUUCUCCAGGUCACUUCCAAAUGCUAAGUAGGUGCCACAGUAAUUAACUGUCAGGGCUGCCUCAAGGGAGGAAAAGCUCUCAAGUGCCAGGCAGCCUAACCCCCUUCUGACUCGCUGCAGCUCAGGGGACAGCCUCUCCGCAGAACUGAUGCCACAAGAAUCUUCCAGGCAUGGGAGUGGCUGACAAACCUCAGCCUCCUCCAGUCAUGCCCCUUAGGGCUGGGAAGCAGGUAGGAACCACUGCAAACAAUUCUGCUACCAGAGCACCUCAAACUGUCUUUUGGCAAGGGUGAAGUGAAAGGCAAAGGUGGGCAAGACUUCAACACUAUUUCCUCCCCUCCUUGGGAAGGCAGCCGGCUCAGCGAGUCUCGACCAGAGCCCCUCUUUCUCCGGGGAGGUGGGAACACAUCAGGGAUCCGUUUGGUCUCUUUUGCACAACAACAAACAGUAAAUCUUAGUAAAAACAGAAAGGUAGGCACCAAACUCCUAACCAUCAGCCAGCCUUAGCUGAGUCCCAUCGCUGCGCUGCCCCUGCCUGGGGCCCCAGAGAAAAGUCAGCCUCACUGGAGUGCUCCAUUGCUCUGACAAGCUUCAGCCAAGAGGAACAAAGCUCCCGUUGAAGAUUCUGUCUUGUUGCCAUUCUGUGGCUGGGAAGGGAAGCCAGAACCACGCCAACGAUGACAUCUUAGGUGAGCCACCACCGCCUCUUUCAAACCCACCUGGACAGUCACGGACUGGAGCCACCCUCUCGUCUCACCCAGCCCCUGCACGUCUGUUCUACAGUCCUUUGCUGUCUGCAGGGUGACAAAGCUGUGACCAGCAGGCAGGGCCUCGCAGCAGAGGUGGUUGUGCUCCUUCUCCUGCUCCCCACCACCAAGCUGUGUCAGUCUGUAGUGCAAUUGGCUGUGCUGGGCUCCUGCUGCAGGUGGCUCUGGGCAAAGGUCUGGUGUACAGUGUAGUGCACAUCACCUCAAAGUUCCAGCCCCUGAAGUACAAUCCUUUUGGUCAUUCAUAUAUUACAACCUUCUUUUUUCUUUUGUUUUGUUCCUUUUUUUUGUUGUUUUUUGUUUGUUUGUUUGUUCCUUUUUUCUUUCUUUUUUAUUUCCCCUCUCCCCUACCCCAUUUUGUUAACAAGAAUACAGUGUGGUUGUGGUUGGUU